ACCUACUGUUUAAUUUUGAGGGUUCGUUUUUACGAAUACUCAAAAUUAGCACUUUAAGCAACGGGAUUUAUCCGUUGGCGCUGUGCGUUAGCACUUUAAGCAACGGAAUUUAUUCGUUGGCGCUGUGCAUUAGCACUUUGAAAACUGCAUAUAUAUAUUUAGUGAUAUGACAUCUAAUUUGUAAUAUAUAAAGCUGAUAACUUUUUAAAAUUAUCGAAGUUGAUAGCUUCUAAUCUAUCAAACCUUUUUAACUGGUCAA
rnacentral:misc_RNA from 1 species